GGGCGCAUAGCUCAGUUGGUUAGAGCGCUGCCUUCACACGGCAGAGGCCAGGGGUUCGAGUCCCUUUGCGCCCA
rnacentral:tRNA from 1 species